rnacentral:rRNA from 1 species
CACGUAGGGUGCGAGCGUUGUCCGGAAUUAUUGGGCGUAAAGAGCUCGUAGGCAGUCUGUCGCGUCUGCUGUGAAAACUCAGGGCUUAACCCUGAGCUUGCAGUGGGUACGGGCAGACUAGAGUGCGGUAGGGGAGACUGGAAUUCCUGGUGUAGCGGUGAAAUGCGCAGAUAUCAGGAGGAACACCGGUGGCGAAGGCGGGUCUCUGGGCCGUAACUGACGCUGAGGAGCGAAAGCAUGGGGAGCGAACAGG